rnacentral:lncRNA from 1 species
AGGGGAGCACCUAGAAGCAGCAGGUGGAGGAUUCAAAGAGGUAAGGGCAGCCCUGCUCUCCAGAAGCUUCAGGUCUGCUUGGGAAACCAGGGCAUACAAAUUCGAGGCAGCCAAAGCUCAGUAGUGUGAGACCAAGAUAGACACUGCUGCAAGAUGUGGAGAAGGGACAAGAACUCCACUCGGCCUGAGAGAAGAGGGAAGGAUCUGUCCACAGAGUUCCCUGUCUGAGAGAGGAAUUAAGUUUCGUUCCAUAAAAUGCUUUAUAUUGUGAUUUGUGUUCACAAGGAAAGGACGGGUCUGGUUGUACAUAUUUUAUUGCAAUGCUGAAACCUAGCUCCAAAUUCAUUGAGAAGAGCUACAGUUUUAAAGGGCAGAACCCUUAGGCUCUGGGUCCCAAAAUACCCAUGCAAGCACUCCCACUCCUCACACUUCACCAUGGGAGUAGCUGGUUGCUAGAGAAAUAAAGGAGAUAAAGGAUGUGAAGUCACUUUGCAACACAUGAAGCAUCACACAGAUGAUAACAUCAGCACUAUCAUGAUUAUCGUCAUCACCUGCUAUUUUUCCCACUGUAAUGUAUCAAGCUGCUUCUUACCUCUCUUCAUUUGUCCUCUUACUGCCUAGAUGUGACCAAAAGGAGACCAUUUCUUAGAAUCUUUGUGUUUGCCAGAAACAGGACUCCUCGGAGCAAGUGGAAGGAACCCAUCUCCUUCCUUGGCACAUAGAAAAAUACUUCAUGAACACUUAAUAUGUAUAAACCAGUGCACCAAACAUUUUACAUUUUUUUAUCCAACUUAAUCCUCACAAUAAUCCUUUGAGAAAGGUGAUGUUAUUCCCACUUCACCAAAGAAAAAACUGAGGCAUAGGAGUUUAAGACACUCCUCAAUAUCAUAUCAAUAGCAAAUGCCUGUCAUCUAUUCAGUGCACAUAGGUCAGUCAGCACUUCAAAUUUCACAUUUUAUAGAUAAAGAAGGUGUGAUUAAGGAACACUAGAUAACUCGCUCAGACUGCACAGUGAGGUGACAUACUCCAAGACUGGAACUCAGAUUUGCUUAAAUUUAAAAUAUAUGCUCUUCUUUAUGCCACACAGCCUUCCUGCAUGACCAGUGAUGUUCUACAAUGAUGACUGAAAACCUACUUCAGAAUCAUAGCAAGAUCUAUGCAUGUGUAUUUACAUGUGUGUGUGCAUGUAUGUGUACAUGUGUGUAAGUCUGCGUGUGUGGUGGCAGCCACUAAUUAACUGUGGCAAGGCUAAAUGAUAUAAAAACCACUUUUCCUGAGACAUCCUCAAGCUCCUUCCACACGCAACAGGAACUCAUAAGAGUCACAGAAACUAGGAGACCCAGAGGAGAUUUACAG